ensembl:piRNA 21ur-2794 ncRNA
UGCUGAAUAAAUUUGAAAUAG